rnacentral:rRNA from 1 species
GUGAAUGCUGGCGGUAUGGAUAAGGCAUGCAAGUCACGGGGGCCGCAAGGCAACCGGCAGACGAGGUAGUAACACGUAGGAACAUACCCCGAAGUCUGGUAUAGCUCACCGAAAGGUGAGGUAAUCCCAGAUAGUCUCGCGAGAGUAAAGCUCCGGCGCUUCGGGAGUGGCCUGCGUAAUAUCAGCUAGUUGGUAAGGUAAUGGCUUACCAAGGCUAUGACGUUUAGGGGAGCUGAGAGGCUGACCCCCACCGAUGAGACUGAGACACGGCUCAUACCCCUACGGGGGGCCGCAGCCGAGAAUAUUCGACAAUGGGCGAAAGCCUGAUCGAGCGAUACCGCGUGGUGGAUGAAGCGCUUCGGCGCGUAAACACCUUUUAUGGGAGAGGAAGUUAUUGACGUUAUCCCAUGAAUAAGGGGCUCCUAACUCUGU